AGAAAAUAGUGUUUGCCUUCCAAAUGUUAUCACCAUUUUAAUAAGCAGCGAAAUGGCUAAAGAUUAAAGAGACAAGUAGGUGGUAACAGAGAAUGGAAGGAGGGCACUUCUCAGGAAUGAUGAGCCCUGAAAUGAUUGCUCCUUCUUGUGAUACCACAGUCUGAUAAGUUUCUGUGACACGAUCAAAUCCCAUUUUAAAGGUAUUGUAUAGCUACUGAUGCUACAGAAGCAACCGAUUCCAAAAGAAUGACCAUGGGCUUCACAAAGAUGAAGUCCCCCAUGUCUUGAACUAAGCAUACUUCUCAUUUCUUGCCUUUAGGCUUCUUCUACACCACAGUAUGGACCAACUGCAGCUCUGGCUUUGUAUAAGCACAAC